CCCUUAGAUGUUCUGGGCCGCACGCGCGCUACACUGAAGGGAUCAGCGUGUUUUCCCUUUCCGAGAGGAACGGGUAACCCGCUGAACCCCCUUCGUGGUAGGGAUCGGAGCUUGCAAUUGUUCUCCGUGAACCAGGAAUUCCCAGUAAGCGCAAGUCAUAAGCUUGCGUUGAUUACGUCCCUGCCCUUUGUACACACCGCCCGUCGCUCCUACCGAUUGAGUGGUCCGGUGAGGCUUUGGGAUCUGAGCAAAGAGAGCGUUUCGCUCGUUUUGCCCGGAAAACUCAGCCGAACCUUAUCAUUUAGAGGAAGGAGAAGUCGUAACA
rnacentral:rRNA from 1 species